CAGGCCACUCUAGUCCUAAUAGGAGUACCUAGCCUACUCUAGCAUGAGAAUACAUCAUAUCAAUAUCAAUAUCACAUAACAUGAGGGUAUUUUGGGAAAUCACCAUUCGGGCGCGGACUGAUCGUACACACAACUCUGAUCUGCAUUUUUUCCAAAAAUCUUUCACUCUUUUUGAAAAUACUUCUCAAAUCCUCAGUUUGAGUUCAAAUACGCCCGAAGGUGUACUCGAAUCCCUCAAACCAAGGCUCUGAUGCCAACUUGUAACACCGUAAAUUUCAAAACAAUUUUUCGCAUUUUAUAAAAACACAAAUCAUUUUUACAUUCAUAAAAAAAACAUUAAUGUUUGAAACUCAAUCCAUGCUAUAUAAAAUUCCCAAGAUCUGAUAACAUAAAAAUCUCGUGUGUGUGUGUGUACUGAUCAAGCCAGCGCCUUCCCACGGUCAUCACUAGUACCUGAAACAAAUAACACUAACACUGUAAGCACAAAGCUUAGUGAGUUCCCCAAAAUACCACACAUAACACAUAUUAGCCACUUGAGGCUAGAACUCUGUGGGUCCGUGGACCCUACUCUGUGAACCCUCUGGUUCUAACUCUGUGAACCUUCCGAUUCCAACUCUAUAAACAUGCACAACAUAAAUCACAUAGAAAUAAUGCAGUACAACACAUAACAUAUAUAGUAUACAAAUACUCUAUCACAUAACUCUGAUUACCUACUCAAGGUAAAGUAUAGUGAGAAGACUCACCUCGCGUAUCUUGAUAACUCGCAAAUCCUGGAAAUCACUCGCGCUCGAUUGCCCGAGCUAUAAUCCUCCUAUAACACAAUAUAUCUCUAAUUAACACUUUCACAACUAAGGUUGACUACCCCUAUCAAGUCAACACUGGUCAACUCUGGUCAACGGUCAACGGUCAACUCUAGCAAUCACUCUGAAAGGACCAAUAUAUUUGGGACCCAACAACGCACCCAAUCCUGAUGCAUACGUUAUCACAUGCCCUCUCUGCAUCAACACCACACCUAAUCCUGAUAUAGAUGCAUCACAGUAAACUACAAAGUCCUCCACUCCCUCAGGAAGGGUUAAUACCGGAGCUUCGCACAAUCUCUGGUGAAGAGUCUCAAAUAAGGCCUGCUGCUCAGGCCCCCAUGCAAAAGUAACACCCUUCUGGUUCAAUGUGGUGAGAGGAACAUCUAUCUUGGAGAAAUCUAUGAUAAAUCUCCGAUAGUAGCUGGCCAGACCCAGAAAACUCCUCAUCUCAGACGGGGAUCUCGGCACCUCCCAUCUCAUAACCGCCUCAAUCUUGGCCGGGUCGACCAUAUCCCAUUUUGAUUAAUGAGAUGCCCCAAGAACUAGACCUCUCGUAACCAGAAAUCACACUUGGAGAAUUUAGUAUAAAUCCUCUCCGCCCUCAAUACUCCAAGGAUCUCCCUAAGAUGCUCCUGGUGCUGCUCUCUGGACCUCGAGUACACCAGAAUGUCGUCAAUGAACACGAUCACCGAUCGAUCCAACAUGGGCCUGCGCACCCGGUUCAUGGGAUUUAUGAAUGCCACCGGUGCGUUGGUGAGCCUGAAAGGCAUCAACACAAACUCGUAAUGCCCAUAACGAACUCUGAAGGUUGUCUUCAGGAUAUCCUCCUCGCAAACUCUCAUAUGAUGAUAUCCAGACAUAAAAUCAAUCCUAAAAAAACAAGAUGCUCUCUGCAACUGAUCGAAUAAAUCGUUGAUCCUCGGUAGCGGAUAAUGGUUCUUGACCGUCAGCUUGUUCAACUCCCGGUAAUUAAUGCACAUCCGGUGUGAACCAUCCUUCUUCUUAACAAAAAGGAUAGGUGCUCCCCACGGCGAGCUACUCGGUCUGAUGAAACCCUUCCCCAGCAGCUCCUGGAGCUGUGAGGAUAACUCCUGCAUCUAUGGUGGCGCAGGGCGAUAAGGUGCCUUGUAAAUAGGCACCGCACCCGGAACCAAAUCAAUCCGGAACUCUACCUGCCUCACGGGAGGCACACCUGGCAACUCCUCGGGAAAAACAUUUGGGAACUCGUAAACUAUCGGAACCCCGGAGAUAGAACUCGACCUCUCUGUAGCAACCCGCAUAUCCAUCACGUACGCCAAGAAGCCCAUACAACCUUGUUGUAGACUCUGCCUCGCCCUGGCAGCAGAGUAGAAAGCUGAUCCAGAUCUGGUACCCUCACCAUACACUGUAAGCACUCCCCUAUUAGGGUAUCGUAUAAUCACCAACUAACGCUCGCAUUUGAUCACAACUCCAAAACGGCUCAACCAAUCAAUGUCUACGAUGACACAAACAUCACCCAUCGCUAUCGGCACCAGAUCUAUCGGGAACUCGACACCAAAAAUAUGUAACACACAUCCUCGGAAUACAUCAGUAGCGAAAACCGCAUGCUCGUCGGCUAUAAAAACCCUCAGAGGUCAACUUAAAGCCUCAUGUCGGAUAUUGAUGUGACGACUAAAAGAUAUAGACACAAAGGAUCGACUCGCACCCAAGUCAAACAACACCAGAGAAGGUACGUAACUCACAAGAAAAGUACCUAUAUAUAUAACACAGAAUAAGCACAACAAAUCUCAAAAUAGUAUAAAUAAGGGAAUACAUACCAGCCACGACAUCGGAUGCUGCACGAACCUCCUACACUGUCAGUUGAAAAGCUCUCCCACGAGCCCUCGGAACCUUGGCCUUCACCGGCCGACUAUCAGUAGCAUGCAAAGCAGCAUGUGCGGAACCCAGAGCUGAUCCCUGAAUGAUCUGAGGGCACUCGGCCUUCCGAUGGUUAGUCUGGUUGUAGUGAAAACAAACUGCAAAUACCUUGGGGAAAUCCUUCGCCAUGUGCCCCUCCUUGCCACAUUUAUAGCAAAUCCCAGCCUGACAUGAUCCCUCGUGACUCUUGCAGCAUUUACCACAAGUGCGGCCCUUCUGGCCCCCAGCUCUCGUAUCAGCAGGCUUAGCCUGCUUCGUCGCCGACUGCGACUGCAUUGGUCUCCGGUCCCUCCCCUAGGACUCUCCCUCCUCCCUGGCCUGCAACUUAAGCUCGCUCUCCCUCUGCCUGACAUUGGUCUGAAGCUCAGCCAAUGUCCAGUAUGACGAGUUCUCCACGAACUCCCAUAUAUCCCUCCUCAGUAUGCUCAGAUAUCGGCUCACACGUGCCUACUCGGUAGACACGUGCUCAGGGAAAAACAACGCCCUCUCAUGGAACAUCCUCGAAAUCUCAGUCACAGUUUUUGUUUUCUACUUAAGAGACAGAAACUCUUGGGCUAACUGUUCCCUCUCCACUUAGGGAAUAUACUCGUCUCGGAACAACUGUGUAAACCUAUCCCAUGUCACUGCAUCAUGAUCUGCAGGGGUAAAGUUGGUUGUCACAAACUUCCACCAGUCCUUCGCUCUUAAGUGAAACUGGUUCAACGUAAACCAAACUCUCAAAUGCUCUGGGCAUGAACACAUGUAAAAAUAUCCCUCGAUGUCGGAGAUCCAUCUCAUAACAACAAUCAGAUCCUAUGUCCCAUCAAACUCUGGUGGCUUCGUGUUGUUGAAUUCCCGGAACAACAACGAGUCACCUCCCUGUGGUCUAGCAGCGACAACAGCCACAAUAGCUACAGCAACAAUGGCCUCAGUAACAGCGGCAUACCAUUCAUCAAAUGUCUCGAUCAUGGUGGUAUUUUUAGACCCAAACAUCUCUGGUAUCACCUCUCGAAUGUAUGCAGCCACCACCUCAUGAAUGAUCCUGCAUAUCUCCUCGUCACCAGCACUACUGCUCUUAGGGUUGUGGCAUGUACCCACCAUGAUGUCUCUGAAACACAACACAAAAAUCAUUAGAGACUCGCUCGAGCAUACUCACACUCGAUUUCCCGCCCCCUAUAUGCUCCUUAGUACCCUAAAGAUUCUUGCUUGGGAUGCAUACAGAUCCGGUGCUUUCAGUAGUACGUGCUCAAUACUACCUUCCACACCAACCUGUAGUCACCCCAAGUCCUCCUCCUAGGAUUCCAAUUCACAAGUACUCAAUCUCCCAUGAAUAUUAGACUACUCUCUCAGUAGACUCCUCAUAUACUCAUCUAGAUAUCUCUCUUAGAUUAACCCUCGACUCAUAACUAUUUUUAAGUGAUUCCUGCUAAAUACUCUUACUCAGCACAUACUCAAGGCAACAACAGGUAGCAACAAUUCCUAGGCUAAGGCAUCACAAAUUAGGAAACUCUAGCCCUAAAUACAAAAUAACUAGUCUAUCCUCUAGCAUGCAUCCCUAACAUCUCAUAAAUAUCUCAUAACACAAAUAAGUAAGGGUUUUGGGGAAAUCACCAUUCGGGCUCUGGCUAAUUGUACACCCUGGUCCAACUCGUUUUUCUUUUAAAACUCUUACUCGUUUUUAGAGAAAACAUUUCUUUUGAAUUUUUUCCUCAAAUCCUCAAUUUGAUUCCAGACACACCCGAAGGCAUAUCCGAAUCUUUCAAACCAAGGCUCUGAUACCAACUUGUAACACCUUAAAUUUCCAAACAUUUUUUUCAUUUAAAAAUCACCUUAAUUCGUUAACACAACUAUAAAAAUCUCCAAAUAUCGAGUUAUCAAAAACACAUGUUCAUUAAUUGUUUAAAACAUAAUCCAAGAUCCUCCAAAACAUAUAUCCAACUCAUGUGUGUACAAUCAGGCCAAUGCCUUCCCGUGAUCCAUAGAAGUACCUGAAACACAUAACACAUAACACGGUAAGCACGAAGCUUAGUGAGUUCCCCAAAAUACCACACAUGUCUCAUUAGCCUCUCAUGGUUAUACUCAGAUAAGACCCUCCGAUCAAUGUGUCUCAGUGGGACCCUCCAGUCCCACAACUCGGGUGGACCCUUCGGUCCUAACUCAGCAAGCUCAGAAUAAUACACAACAUAAAUCACAUAAACAUAAUGCAUGAUGUCACAAUACUCAAUAUAAGCACACAAGACCCUCCGGUCACACAAAAUUACCACUCAAGGUAAGUAUAGUGAGAAGACUCACCUCGUAAGAAAUCAUAUAACCUCGAACUCAAAUCAUUGUUCUAGCCUCCGCCUAACACAUAUGAUAAUUAUCUCUAAUUAAUAACGGAUCUCAAAGAAGCUAGACUAAACCCUUCUACAAACUCACAGAAGGAUAAAAUACCAUUUUACCCUUCCAUGGCCUUAAUAGUCUACAAAUUGACCAAACCCUAAAAGUCAACGGCAGCGUGUACGCUGCGCGUACCAACCCUCUACGUUGGGCGUACUCCUUUGCCAUGCAUGCAUCGAGGAUUCUCGACCCUACGUUGCGCGUACUGAGAUUACGCUCAACGUACGCCCCAAUUUUGCUCUUCCUACUCAUUUGGUCAUAAUCUAUUAUGACCUUAACUCAAAUCUCUGAUCUGGAUUCCCUAAAGGCUCAUACUCCAUAAAAUACGUGCCGUUAAGCCUUUGCCUGGAUGAAAAAGUCACAAACACCAAAACUCUCACUCUCUAUUCUCAAGAAUGCUCAUAUAUCAUGCAUGGGUGGGUUUAAACGUCCAAGUCUCGAUUUUUAUGACUCUACACCACUAAAAACACACAAAGGAGCUGAUAAUAAACUCUAGAGCUCUAUAUCUCAUAAAGCAUCCAACUUUGGGACCAAAACCCUAAAAUGGACUAAAAUGAUGCACAUAUCAAAAGGGGUGAGAAAGCUUUGAGCUUUAUACCUCUAACUGAAGCUCCAACCACAGAUAAGCUCAGAUCCAAAGCCUGGACUCCCACUCCUUCCUCUUCAAAGCUCCUUCUUUACUCCAAAGAAACCAGAAGGACACUUAAUAGCUCACAAACGGACACACAAGCUCAAGGGAAACAAAAAUAGGGUUUGAGAGGGUUGAGGUUUGGAAAUUGUGGCUAGAAAUGAGGCCAUCUUGUUCCUUAAAUAGGGACACACCCUUAAUUAGGGUUUUCACUAUGGGCCUAGUACGCCCAGCGUACCAUAGGGUACGCUCAACGUACUAGGUGCCUUCCAUGUCAAAAACACGCACAUGAGUACGUUGAGCAUACACACGCGUACGCCCCGCGUACUCAUUUACCACCUUUUCUCAAAUAAAGGGCCAAACUUGACAAUUACCAAAAGAACAAGGGUUGAUGAGGUAUACCUGACCUAGGGAUGUUACAGGAGUGGGCCUCAGAUUUUGGGUUAUCAGGAUAAUUAUUGAUUAAGAUUGUAUUUCUUGUUAGUUGGCGUGAGGUUAUUCGGUUCAAUGUCUAGAGUAGUUAUUUGAUUAUCAACGGAUUGAGGUAAGUCUCCUCAUUGUACUCGUUGGUUGAAGGCAUCAAUGUCGACCCACUAGGUUCUGUUAUGCUAGUUGUCUUUGUAACUUUUGCAUGGUAUGUUUAGCUAGGCCUAUUUGUAUGUUGAGCUAGGCUCAUUUUAUGUUGAGCCAAGCCCAUUGGUAUGCUGAGCUAGAUCCAUUUGUACGUCGUGGCAACUUAAAUGAAGUUGCGGUCAAUCCAGGUCAUAUGCCACCACGUCAUGACCCUCCAAUUCUCAUUAUAAUAAAGCAAAACAACGCCUUGAAAACCCGGAUGUUACAAUGAGAAUUUAUAUCUAUAACUACAAUAACUUCAAGACUUGGUAGAGUAGUGGAUACAAGUCUAAUUGUCUCUUAAAAACCAUGGUUUAGGACUAAAAUUAGCAAAAGUGGAUAAAAGUCAAAUCGUCCAACAAAAACAAUGUGCAAGGACUAAAAUUGGCAACAUAUAAAAGGCCAACGGUGACAUCUCAAAGAGAAACAAAUGGUGGGUGAGUUGUCAAACAUGGAUAACCAUUUACACUUGUUGAAACUAAAGUUUAGUUCAAUGAUUUCUAAAUGAUAACAUGGGUGUAUUUGGGAUUGAUUUUUAAACUAAAUUUUUUUUUUUUUAGAAAAUAACUUUUUGAUUUAUGUCUUCUUCCAAAAAAAAUAUAUAAAUAAAAUAUGUUUAUAUGAACUUUUGAGGAUGCAAAGUAAAAAAACCAAAAGUUAAUAAGAGUUACAAAUAGUAACUUCUUAAACUUCUUCUUUUUAUUCUCAAAAAGUUAAUCUAAAAUAAUUUUUGAAAUUACUAAACAAAAUUUUAAACUUUUGACUUUUAGAAAAACCAAAAGUCCAAAAAAUUAUUAAAAAGAAAUACCAAACACCAUCCGUGUAUAAUAUGAAUUAGGAACAAUAAUAUUAGCUAACUGGUACAAUAUCAUUAGGAACAAUACUAUUAGCUAAAGUAACCAUGUGAGAGAGGUUGUAAGUUAUUUUAUUGUACAUAUAUUUAUAAUUUAUAAUAUGAUUGGGCUUGGGCUUGGGCUCAAAUACGUGCAAUAUAAUUUUCACUGGCCCGACACUAUAAGCUAUAUAAUCAGCUGCACGCAGGACUCACAAUCGCAACAUUUGAAACCCUAAUCUUUCUAUCGGUCAAUCUCAAGCCGUCACCUUUUAAAGCCAAUCUAGUCUCAAUUCAUUCCCCGCUUGAUCUCUCUUUCUGUUUCUAUUGUUUGAUUUGUUUUCUUGAUUUAGAUAAAGUCACAGGUCUAUGUUGUCAGCAUGAUAAAGUCCCGUUUUUUUUCUUCGUUUAGACCAUCAUAUAUUUGAUUGGGUCAGAUUUAUACAGAGUAACAAAAGUUGUUCGUGAGCUAUUGAUGGGGGUUGUGGAUGAUGAGAUCAUAUUUUUACACAGUUAUCCCUGUCUGAUAAAUUCGUGAUUGAUUCUUGUGAUCUGACACAGAACCCCAUUUGGAUUUUCACAUCAUUUUUCUUGAUGAAUCUUUUAUAAUCUGUUCGUUAUCCGUUUAUAACGAUGGCUGAUUGAUUGAUAUACGUUUCGGUUUGCCACUGUAUAGAAGCUCGGCGCAUAUAUUAAGUAUAUAUCACCAAAUGAAUAUACAUCUGAUUCUUUUGUUAAUAUCAAGUAUACAUAUGCUUGAAUUGAACUAUAGAAUCGAUGUAUAUUCAUUUGAUGCACUAUACUUGAUCUAUACCAAAGACUUUGCUCUUCUUCUAAUGAUGUAUAAGGUAUGGUCUAAGUUUUCAUGUCGACGAAUUACAAAACUUUGGGGCGAAAUAUUUGAUUUUCGUAAAAUCCAAUGUUAAAUCGUCGUAAAUUGAGCUUUUUCUGCAUCAAAACAGUUGAGCCUUCCUUCACAGGGAGGAUCCUGUUGGUCGGAGAAGGCGUUGUCACAUCCUAUCGCCUUGGGGAGCAGGUUCUGCCAUUACCUCUUGGGAUUGGCCGUGAGAAAAACA
rnacentral:lncRNA from 1 species